rnacentral:rRNA from 1 species
GUGGGGAAUAUUGGGCAAUGGGCGCAAGCCUGACCCAGCAACGCCGCGUGAGGGAAGAAGGCUUUCGGGUUGUAAACCUCUGUCCUUGGUGACGAAAAAAAUGACGGUAGCCAAGGAGGAAGCCCCGGCUAACUACGUGCCAGCAGCCGCGGUAAUACGUAGGGGGCGAGCGUUGUCCGGAAUUACUGGGCGUAAAGGGUGCGUAGGUGGCCUUUUAAGUUGGAUGUGAAAUACCCGGGCUUAACUUGGGGGGUGCAUCCAAAACUGGGAGGCUAGAGUGCAGGAGAGGAAAGCGGAAUUCCUAGUGUAGCGGUGAAAUGCGUAGAUAUUAGGAGGAACACCAGUGGCGAAGGCGGCUUUCUGGACUGUAACUGACACUGAGGCACGAAAGCGUGGGGAGCAAACAGGAUUAGAUACCCCGGUAGUCC